rnacentral:rRNA from 1 species
CCUACGGGAGGCAGCAGUGAGGAAUAUUGGUCAAUGGACGAGAGUCUGAACCAGCCAAGCAGCGUGAAGGAUGACUGUCCUAAGUGUUGUAAACUUCUUUUAUAAGGGAAUAAAAUGUUCCACGUGUGGGAUUUUGUAUGUACCAUAUGAAUAAGGAUCGGCUAACUCCGUGCCAGCAGCCGCGGUAAUACGGAGGAUCCGAGCGUUAUCCGGAUUUAUUGGGUUUAAAGGGCGCGUAGGUGGAUUGUUAAGUCAGUUGUGAAAGUUUGCGGCUCAACCGUAAAAUUGCAGUUGAAACUGGCAGUCUCGAGUACAGGAGAGGUGGGCGGAAUUCGUGGUGUAGCGGUGAAAUGCUUAGAUAUCACGAAGAACUCCGAUUGCGAAGGCAGCUCGCUGGACUGCAACUGACACUGAGGCUCGAAAGUGUGGGUAUCAAACAGGAUUAGAUACCCCUGUAGUC